GGUCUCUUCAGCAGCUCACAUGCUAAAAUUGGAAAAAUACAGAGCAGAUUAGCACGGCACCUGUGCAAAGAUAACACUCAAAUUUUUGAAGUCUUCCAUAUCAUU
ensembl:snRNA U6 U6 spliceosomal RNA